CUUCCGAAGCAGAAUUCGGUAAGCGUUGGAUUGUCACCCACUAAUAGGGAACGUGAGCUGGUUUAGACCGUCGUGAGACAGGUUAGUUUUACCCUACUGAUGAAUGUUACCGCAAUAGUAAUUGAAUUUAGUACGAGAGGAACAGUUCAUUCGGAUAAUUGGUUUUUGCGGCUGUCUGAUCAGGCAUUGCCGCGAAGCUACCAUCCGCUGGAUUAUGGCUGAACGCCUCUAAGUCAGAAUCCAUGCUAGAACGCGGUGAUUUCUUUGCUCCACACAAUAUAGAUGGAUACGAAUAAGGCGUCCUUGUGGCGUCGCUGAACCAUAGCAGGCUAGCAACGGUGCACUUGGCGGAAAGGCCUUGGGUGCUUGCUGGCGAAUUGCAAUGUCAUUUUGCGUGGGGAUAAAUCAUUUGUAUACGACUUAGAUGUACAACGGGGUAUUGUAAGCAGUAGAGUAGCCUUGUUGUUACGAUCUGCUGAGAUUAAGCCUUUGUUGUCUGAUUUGU
rnacentral:ncRNA from 1 species